rnacentral:piRNA from 1 species
UCCUCUGCUUUCUACAUCUCGUUCAAAUA